GUGGGGAAUAUUGGACAAUGGGCGAAAGCCUGAUCCAGCCAUGCCGCGUGUGUGAAGAAGGUCUUCGGAUUGUAAAGCACUUUAAGUUGGGAGGAAGGGUAGUAACCUAAUACGUUGCUACUUUGACGUUACCGACAGAAUAAGCACCGGCUAACUUCGUGCCAGCAGCCGCGGUAAUACGAAGGGUGCAAGCGUUAAUCGGAAUUACUGGGCGUAAAGCGCGCGUAGGUGGUUCAGUAAGUUGGAAGUGAAAUCCCCGGGCUCAACCUGGGAACUGCUUUCAAAACUGCUGAGCUAGAGUACGGUAGAGGGUGGUGGAAUUUCCUGUGUAGCGGUGAAAUGCGUAGAUAUAGGAAGGAACACCAGUGGCGAAGGCGACCACCUGGACUGAUACUGACACUGAGGUGCGAAAGCGUGGGAAGCAAACAGGAUUAGAAACCCCAGUAGUCC
rnacentral:rRNA from 1 species